GCCAUUUUGGCACUCGUGUGUCUCCGGAGGCACCCCGAGAGUUCGCCCCUGCGCAGGUAAAACUUUGAAACUUUGGCCAAUAAGGUUCCAUCUUAAACUCCUGAAGGCUUCCGACAUUUGCUCGCAUUGGGCUCCAGGAGCACACGUGAGGGUUUCUCUGGGACGUACACCUAGAAGUGGAACUGCAACAUCAAAAGAGGGCAAGGGAGAGAAAAAGAGAGAAACAUCCAUGUGUGGGUGCCUCUCAUGCGACCCUUCAGUUCCCAGGCUGACACUCUGUCCACUGAGCCACACCAGCCAGGGCUCCUGGCCUCCUGUCUUAAUCUUCAGACCAACACAAAGAUACUUGAGGUUUGCCGGGAUGUCAUUCCUAAAUGCAGCUUCCCAUGAGUUGCUGGAGAUGGAGAAAGGAAAGUCUGAACCCAUCACAACCUUGUUGAUAAAGGGAAAGAAGUUGGGAACAGUGGGUUGGUUUCCACCUUGUGGAAGGUGAACAGUACAGUCAAGUCUCAAACUACAACCGUCACUCCCUCAAACUAACACAAUAGCCUCUUCACCCUUCACUGCUUCUGCUCCUUCCCUGUGUAUUGGUUUGCUAGGGCUACUGCAACCAAGGACCACAGACUGGGUGGCUUAAAGCCCUACAAAUGGAUUGUUUCAGAGUCCUGGAGGCUAGACAUCCAAUGUCAAGGUGUUGGCGAGGUUGAUUCCUUCUGAGGCUCUGAGAGAGCCUGUUCUAUGACUCUCCCCCAGUUCCUGGCAGUUUGCUGGCAAAUCCUCCAGAAUGGCUCUGCCCUCUUCCCUCCUGGGUCUGUAUCUCUUGUCCUCUUGUUACAAGGACACCAGUCAUUUUGGAUGGAGGGCCCACCCUACUCCAGUAGGACCACCCUCACUGAUUACAUCUGCAAUGGCUCUAUUUCUGAACAAGGUUGCUUUGGAAGGUACUGGGGUUAGGACUAUAAGAUUUCUCUGUUUUGGGGGGAGGGCUUGCACAAGCCAACCCAUAAAGGCAGUACAUCUUUUCUUUUUAAAAAAGAUUUUAUUUUGCCCUGGCUGGUGUAGCUCAGGGGAUUGAGCAUGGGCUGCGAACCAAUGGAUCACCAGUUCAAUUCCCAGUCAGGGCACAUGCCUGAGUUGUGGGCCAGGUCCCUGGUUGGGAGCGUAUGAAAGGCAACCACACAUUGAUGUUUCUCUCCCUCUCUUCCU